CUUUGUUUAGGUAUGGUUAGUUCACGCAGUGGUAAAGACUUCACAUGUUUUGUUGUGAAGGAUCUUCGGAAGGAGGACAGAUCGAUGGAAAUCUUCUUAAAGCAGUAGUUAAACUUCCUAAGAGGCGGAGUACAUGAUGAAUGACAGCUCUGACCAGGAGAGAGCCUCCAGUUUGGACCAAGCAGAACCAGAACCUCCACAAUUCAAAGAGGAACCAGAGGAACUGUGCAUUAAUCAGGAGGAAGAGUCGCUCUGGCUGAAUCAGGAUGCUGAUUUCAAGGAACUGUCACAUUAUCAGUACUGCCUGGGGAUCAGAAAUGCUGAGACAGACUUACACAAAACAGGUAUGUGAAGUAUAACUUAUCAGAUAAAUUUUUUGUUUUUUUUCAUUUUGUAAAUGAAUUGGGUUAAAGUACAUCUGUGUUUAUGAGUAUCUGUAGGAGCAAUUGUUAGUCUAAAGAACAAACGAUAUUCCUAAAAUGUAAUUAAAAUAGGGUUGAAACAUCACUUUUUUCACUUCACUUCACUCUUUCACUUUUCCAUUAUGCUUAUGUUUAUGUGUUAUUGAUUGUCAUAAAUUGUUAAAUAAUGCAUUUUGUGUCUUUGUAUACAACAGUUACAAUGUAAAUGAGGUGGUUUUGUUUAAUUUACGUUCUUUGUAACUUAAAAUUGUGAUCUAUUUAAUAUCAUUUUUGUUGGACAAGCAGUAAACUCUGUGAGUUAAAGUUAAAGCUGGAAAGAAUAGGUACGUAAUCUGUAACUGUUCUGACAAAGAAUGCUUUUUAUUCCUAAGAAACAAAGUAAAGGAGGAGAAAAGUCCCUGUUUUCUGCUGCUCUCAGUGACUCUGUACUCCCCAGCCUGAGCAGCUCCUCUGUGAGUGUGGAGGAGUUUCCUAAUCUUAUAAAUAUGACAUGCUUGAGCAUCUUGAACUGGAUUACUGCAUUAACCAGUAUGUCUAUGGAUCUUAAUGUUUUACCUUUUAUAUUCAGUUGUCUCUGAUCAAUUACAUUAGAAUAAGGCUAGAAAGCUGCAGUUAUUCAUUAAUCUAAAUGAAAAGAAUUAUGGUAACUAUGUAAAAAAAUAAAAGUAAACAUAAUUUAGGUGGUAUUAUAUAGGAUGAUAACGUGCAAGGAGAGACGGUCAGUUGAGGGGUUUGCCCUUCUUAUACCCUGUUAGAAUGCAGCUGCCUUUAUAGUGACUGAUGGAAGAUAAAAAUGACCACAUCUCCUCAAUACUUGCUGCUCUUCACAGGCUUCUUGUUCAUUUUAGGAUCCAGUUGACGGUUUUAUUUAUAUCUUUUAGAACUUUGAAUGGUUUUGGUUCCAUUGUAUUUAUUAAAGGUUUAUUAAAGAGUUAUUUAAACCAUGUGCUCCA